UGGGGAAUCUUGCACAAUGGGGGCAACCCUGAUGCAGCGACGCCGCGUGAGCGAUGAAGCCCUUCGGGGCGUAAAGCUCUUUCGACCGGAACGAUAAUAACGGUACCGGGAGAAGAAGCUGCGGCUAACUACGUGCCAGCAGCCGCGGUAAUACGUAGGCAGCAAGCGUUGUUCGGAGUUACUGGGCGUAACGAGUGCGUAGGCGGUUUUCUAAGUUCGGUGUGAAAUCUCCCGGCUUAACUGGGAGGGUGCGCCGAAGACUGGAAGCUGGAGUGUGGGAAAGGCAGGCGGAAUUCCUGGUGUAGCGGUGAAAUGCGUAGAUAUCAGGAGGAACACCGGCGGUGUAGACGGCUUGCUAGACCAUAACUGACGCUGAGGCACGAAAGCGUGGGUAGCAAACA
rnacentral:rRNA from 1 species